GACGAACGCUGGCGGCGUGCCUAAUACAUGCAAGUCGAGCGCAGGAAACUGACGGAACUCUUCGGAGGGAAGGCAGUGGAAUGAGCGGCGGACGGGUGAGUAACACGUAAGGAACCUGCCUCAAGGAUUGGGAUAACUCCGAGAAAUCGGAGCUAAUACCGGAUAGUUCAACGGACCGCAUGGUCCGCUGAUGAAAGGCGCUUCGGCGUCACCUUGAGAUGGCCUUGCGGUGCAUUAGCUAGUUGGUGGGGUAACGGCCCACCAAGGCGACGAUGCAUAGCCGACCUGGGAGGGUGAUCGGCCACACUGGGACUGAGACACGGCCCAGACUCCUACGGGAGGCAGCAGUAGGGAAUCUUCCACAAUGGACGAAAGUCUGAUGGAGCAACGCCGCGUGAGUGAUGAAGGUUUUCGGAUCGUAAAACUCUGUUGUAAGGGAAGAACACGUACGAGAGGAAAUGCUCGUACCUUGACGGUACCUUACGAGAAACCCACGGCUAACUACGUGCCAGCCGCCGCAGUAAUAC
rnacentral:rRNA from 1 species